CCUACGGGCGGCAGCAGUGGGGAAUUUUCGGCAAUGGGCGAAAGCCUGACCGAGCAAUGCCGCGUGAAUGAUGAAGAUCUUCGGAUUGUAAAGUUCUGUUGUUAGGGAAGAACAUAUUGACGAGUGGAAAGCGUCAAUACUGACGGUACCUAACUAGAAAGCCCCGGCUAAAUAUGUGCCAGCAGCCGCGGUAAUACAUAUGGGGCGAGCGUUAUCCGGAAUUAUUGGGCGUAAAGCGUGCGUAGGCGGUUUGUUAAGUCUGAUGUGAAAUUUCACGGCUUAACCGUGAAGGGUCAUUGGAAACUGGCAAACUUGAGUACGGUAGGGGUAAGUGGAAUUCCAAGUGGAGCGGUGGAAUGCGUAGAGAUUUGGAGGAACACCAGUGGCGAAGGCGGCUUACUGGGCCGGAACUGACGCUGAUGCACGAAAGCGUGGGGAGCAAACAGGCUUAGAUACCCGGGUAGUC
rnacentral:rRNA from 1 species